AGUCAAGUAAUUAAGUGCAUGUGGUGGAUGCCUUGGCAGUCAGAGGCGAUGAAAGACGUGAUAGCCUGCGAAAAGCUCCGGGGAGGCGGCAAAUAUCCUUUGAUCCGGAGAUGUCUGAAUGGGGGAACCCACCUACUUUAAGGUAGGUAUUGCAACAUGAAUACAUAGUGUUGCAAGGCGAACGAGGGGAAGUGAAACAUCUCAGUACCCUUAGGAAAAGAAAUCAAUUGAGAUUCCCUCAGUAGCGGCGAGCGAACGGGGAUCAGCCCAUUAAGUUAUGUGUGUUUUAGUGGAACGCUCUGGGAAGUGCGAACGUAGAGGGUGAUAUUCCCGUACACGAAAGGGCACACAUAAUGAUGACGAGUAGGGCGAGGCACGUGAAACCUUGUCUGAAUAUGGGGGGACCAUCCUCCAAGGCUAAAUACUCCUGACUGACCGAUAGUGAACCAGUACCGUGAGGGAAAGGCGAAAAGAACCCCUGUGAGGGGAGUGAAAUAGAUCCUGAAACCGCAUGCAUACAAGCAGUGGGAGCACCUUCGUGGUGUGACUGCGUACCUUUUGUAUAAUGGGUCAGCGACUUAUAUUCAGUAGCGAGGUUAACCGUAUAGGGGAGCCGUAGAGAAAUCGAGUCUUAAUAGGGCGUUUAGUUGCUGGGUAUAGACCCGAAACCAGGCGAUCUAUCCAUGAGCAGGUUGAAGGUUGGGUAACACUAACUGGAGGACCGAACCCACUGUCGUUGAAAAGCCAGGGGAUGACUUGUGGAUAGGGGUGAAAGGCUAAUCAAGCCUGGUGAUAGCUGGUUCUCCCCGAAAGCUAUUUAGGUAGCGCCUCGGACGAAUACCAUAGGGGGUAGAGCACUGUUUCGGCUAGGGGGUCAUCCCGACUUACCAAACCGAUGCAAACUCCGAAUACCUAUGAGUACUAUCCGGGAGACAGACUGCGGGUGCUAACGUCCGUAGU
rnacentral:rRNA from 1 species